rnacentral:rRNA from 1 species
UUACAACACUGAGUAUUUAGAACGAAGGAAAAAGUUAGCCAGCGUUAAGGACGAACGAUAGAGAGUCCUUUACGACGUUCAAAAAGUGUGCUAACACAUGAUAGUCUGAGUGUUGAGUGUUGAAUAUCUGAUUAGUGGCGGACGGGUGAGUAACGCGUGGGAAACCUGCCCUAUACAGGGGGAUAGCCUCGGGAAACUGGGAUUAAUACCCCAUAAAACUCUAGUAUCGCAUGAUACAUGAGCCAAAGAUUUAUCGGUAUAGGAUGGUCCCGCGUCUGAUUAGCUAGUUGGUGAGGUAACGGCUCACCAAGGCGACGAUCAGUAGCCGGCCUGAGAGGGUGAACGGCCACACUGGAACUGAGACACGGUCCAGACUCCUACGGGAGGCAGCAGUGGGGAAUAUUGCACAAUGGGGGAAACCCUGAUGCAGCGACGCCGCGUGAGCGAAGAAGGCCUUCGGGUCGUAAAGCUCUGUCCUAAGGGAAGAAACGGACGGUACCUUAGGAGGAAGCCCCGGCUAACUACGUG